GAGUGCGGGUGCUGAGGACAGCGACGAUCCGGAGGCGAGACCCAACGGCGAGAGGGGGGAGAGCAAGUAUUCCAGUGACAGAAUCCACUCAAGAGAGUUGGGGCCAAGGCUAUCAAGGAGCUGAGUUCUGAGUUCAGGUGCCCACGUGGCAGAGGAAUGACGCCUCCUGGCCCUUCAGACCUUUGAGACGGCCGGGAGGCCCUAGAAAUCACCUCAAGUCUCCAGUCCAGGACACAGCUGCCUAGGGGAGCCCCAGGGAAAGGCGGCAGAGAUUGCAUGGCCCGUGACGGACUCCAGCGCAACCUCUGCGGAAUCUACCCGAUUCCAAACCACUGGCACUUCCGGUGCGCAAAGCCCCUUGCGGAGAGGACGCAAGAGAAGCCAGCUGGGAAGAGGCCCAUCGCUUGGCUGCAAAGCAGAUGGACCACCUCCUCAGGGCUCCUGGAAACUGCUGAAGCACGAUGAGGGAGGUGACAUCACUCGCAAGAAGGAAUCAAGCAAUUACAGUGGACUUGAGACUGCAUCCUUCAGACUGAAGUCCUGAGGCCCAGUUCUGAGUUAGACUGUCUUUCUCUGUCCUCUCUCUCUCUCUCUCUCUCUCUCUCUCUCUCUCUCUCUCUCUCUCUCUCUCUUAUUUUUCU